AAAUCUUCCUAUCUCUUUGGGUCCUGCCAGGCUUGGAACACAGAUCUCCUUCGGAUUUCUAUGGGAGGGAGGGUGGAGGUUUCUCCCCUCUUGCACACACACACACACACCCCAGCAGCAGCAAGAAUAUGUUUUUGCCUAGACAUAUGAGCGUGAACCUCGAGUUUCUGACUGACUCUUCUGCCUUUCUUUUCCUGAGCUUGUUGUCAAACAGUGCUGAUGUGAAAUGGAUAUUUCCAGCUGUCAGUAACUUCAUGAAUUCCCAAGAGUACCAAACAGGACCAAGGAACUUUUCCCUCUGCAAGUUGCAAACUAUCUGGCUAUCAAAAUCUCACAACAUCACUCAGAGAGAAAGAAAGCACCAGCAAGUACAAGAAAGUCUCCAGCUCUUCUGAAUCUCCCUCCACAUAUUCCAAGUCAACUCUUUUAAGUCCCCCUGCCCUGGGCUUCCUCCAUUAGUUGUGUAGUCACGUGCAUUCCCUGACUGUACUCGUUUUUGAAGCUCUGUGUGGGUGGGACAUGGGCACUACACAUUUAUCCCUAUUAAAUUUCCUCUUUUUAGACUUGGCCUGUCAAGAUCUUUUUGGAUCUGUCAUACAAUGUGUUAGCUAUCCUCCUCAGCUUUAUGUCAUCUGCAGAUUUAAUAAGCUUGCUAUCUAUGCUUUCAUCCAAGUUGUGCUGGCAUUGCCACUGUCUUCUUGAUAAGAUGCAGAUUCCUUCUCUUUUAAAAGUUCUGGUAUAAAGCCCUAUACAUAUUUCCUAUCAUGUCAUUUCCUUCUUCAAAAAUCUUCAGUGGCUCCCUAUGACCCUCCAAAGAAGGUUCAAAUUCAGUGUGACAAUAGUCUUCUAACUUUUACAUGCUCACUUUUUGCAUGCUCACUGUUCCUUCAGUCAUGGGGUACUAUUCACCAUUCCCCAUGUUGCAUGCUUUUAGAUUUCCAUACUUUGUUUGUCAUAUCUUUUUCUCUUCCCAGAACUUUAUUCAUAAGAUUAUGGAUCUAGUCCAGGACUUGGCCACCUAUAACCUGCAUCUAAAUCUAUGCUUUUAUAUAACCAAGAA
rnacentral:lncRNA from 1 species